UUACAGCUGGAGUCUUGGCUUGGACUAAACGUCUUCCUUUUCCUGUUUUGUUCAGGGCUCCCAAAUCUGUAUUUUCUCAGCAUCUGGCGCUCCCAGUGCUACGCAUUCUUCCUAGCCGGAGAUCGGGAGCAGCGGCGAGGGAGGGCAGGAACAGAGAACCGAGCACUCUUUUGUGCGCUCAUGUCUAGCGGUAACACUUUUUGGCCACCCCAAACCUGCGCCUUUCCAACCGGCGCUGCUGUCUCUCCCGGAGAGGGAAGCCGCCGCGCCUUCCCCCCUGCCGGGCAGCACGCACCCGCGGCCGCCGCCCAUCGCGGCCAGGGGCCGGUAGGACACGAGCGCGGCUCAGCCGUGAGGGCGGGGCGGGGCCGGGGCGGGGCCCUCCCGUGUGCCGCGGUGCUUCCGUCCGAGCCGUGUCAGCUUCCGCCCCGCGCUGCCGCUCUUCUCCCAGCUGUCGACAGCUCGCUUGGGCCCCGACCAACAUCUCUCAGCUGCCAAGUAAAGAAGGUAAAACCUGUCCACACGAAAGACUUAUUAGCCAAUAAAGGUAAGAAUACAUUAGAUGCCUGGUACAUCAUGGGUAUUUGUUUGAAGUUUUUGAAGAUUUAAAUGCAAAUCUCUACUUCUACAGUCCAAAUCUGAUACUUCCUACUUACCUAAUUUCUUUGUGUACUGUAGAAGACCCUGUGCAGUUGCAGGUCUGUCUAAUCCCUUAUUAGCAAGAAUACUAUACUUGAGUUCACAAGUGGAAGAUGUCUCUUUAAUAUCGAAUUUCAGAUGUAACGGCCUACGUUGUCAUCUGGCUUUGCCAUUAAUUCUUACUAUGAAUGUUAGCACUGUGACCGUGCAGUUGCUGGAUGCCAGUUUUUAUAGGUCAGGGCAGCUCUAUUGGACCUUUCUUGAAUAUGCAUGCCAUUCUUGCAACAUGCCUCUGUGAAUGUGAAAUAUGCAAAAUUCUGGAAUAUGUGCACUUAAAUGGGCAGUAAAUCUAGAACUCAUGGAUGGCUGAAUUCCAAAUUACUUGUAACCUCACACCUGUCUUCAGUGUAUGCUUUCCUUUCAUUGCAGGGAUGCUGCCCAGAGCAGAGAUGAGGUCAGGAAGGCCAAGACAAAGUAUGUUGAACAGAAAAGGAAAGAAAAUGCAUACAUCACACUCCCCAUGCACUCCUGAUAAGCAAGACAAGAAAACUAGAGGCAAUUGUCAUGGAGAAGGCUGAGAUACUCAGCAACUUUUUCAUCUCAGUUUUCCAUGGUACUCUCUCUUCCUACUUCUCUCGAGCCCCUGCCCCUCAAGACAGGGACUGGGGGAAUACGUAACAGCCAUUAAAAAUGAAGAUCAAGUGUGGGACCAUGCGAGGAACCUGAACAUACGGCAUCCCGGGGGGCAGCAGCGGCAGUGUCAUAGGGAAGGGAUGAACCAACUGCUGCCGCCGGCCCCAGUACAGGAACAGAGCAGAGCAUGAGCAGGAGCCAAGGCAGUGUCCCCAGCCACACUGCCCCCGUGCCGUGGGGUGGCUGUCAGUCCACGACAGCAGAGCUGGGGAGGAACUUCAGGCCUUCUGGGGGCUGCCACCCUUUCUUGUUGCAGCAGAGCCCCUUUUUGGGGGCGUGUGCAUAUGGAAAUGCUUUAAUAAAGCAACACGCUGCUGUCCA
rnacentral:lncRNA from 1 species